rnacentral:lncRNA from 1 species
CGUCACUAGUAUUUUUCAUUGGCAAACGGGGUCUAAUCUUGAUCAGAAGCGCACUCUCCCGAAGUAACUUCUGAUGAUUUCCAUAAAAGCGACUAACAAAGCAAGUCAUAUUUCCUAUUUGAAAUCACAAAGUUGCAUUUAUUCUGUGUCUUACGGUAAACACGGAACACUGCGCGUGGGCGCGAUGACGUCUCAGUUAAGGGCGCCGAGUUGGAAAGAGGAAAACGGUACACAGAAAGGCAGCUAAUCUUAACAAGUCGGAUUAAUAGAUGCUUUAGCGUAUGUGGUGAAUCGCAAAAGAAAUAUUUGUUGACGAUGUCGACUGACUUGGAGAAGGCGAUGGAAGAGUACGAGGCCGCGUGUGCCACCCUGUCCGAGGAGCUUGCGGGGCUAUCGGAGAGACUGGACGAACUGGUGCGGUACCAGGGCAGCCUUCUGACCACCAACUCUCUGCUGAUUUCUUGGAUGCAAAAUGUGGAAGAGCUGUGGAAGCACAGGAGACAGGCUCACCUCACCUUUGAUGCCUGAAUCAUGCAGGUCCAGAAUGAAGAUGAAGGGCAGGUGCUGAUGCUAUGACUUUUGCAUCUUUAAAACCCAAUGCCUACACUAACUGGGGCUGAACGCCCAGACUGCAGCCGAUCGCUGUGUGCUUGAGUUACAGCACAGCCCUUGUCUGUACACAAUAUUAUUAAUAAUACUAUAAUAAUACUGAUCACAUAGACUGUCACUCUGUUGGCCUCUGUCGCGUGUCAUACAGUCACUGGCCACCAGAUGGCGCAAAACGGUCAAUUCUGCCCCUGUAUUUUUGCAUAUCUGGUUUUAUAGCCAGAUGAACGCUGGACAGUUGUGUGUGUGUGUAUAUAAUAUAUCGUGGUUAACAAGCAUAUCGGCACAAGAUAUGCUUUGUGGGAUGUUUUGUAUUCCCCCUCCCUUUAAAUAAAAGUCAUUUUGGGCAUGAGUGUAUAGGAAAC